CUUUGGCCUUCUUGCCCAUGAGGACACUUUACUGCCUCAUGGUUUUCCUAAGGGCGGUGCACUCAGGAUGCAGAAGCCACCUCUGGACCCUUGAGCUUACCUGGAAUCAAGGUUCUACAUCUGUCUCCUUGCCAUCACAGUGUGAAGUUCCUGCUUCCAGCACCCUGGGUCAGCUGCAAGGUCCUUCCCCCUGCAUUCACCAUCCUGGUGGACACACACCUCUCAUCCACCUGCUUCUCCUGGACAACUAAAGAGGACACAGCCAUGAGCAA